UGAGUACGAGACGCUAAGGCGUUGAAGCAGUCUAUGUCAGACUUCCAAGAAAAGCUCGCAAUGUCAUAAACAAAGAAUGCUUGUACCAUAACCGACACAGGUGGGUAGGUAGAGUAUACUAAGGGGCGCGAGAUAACUCUCUCUAAGGAACUCGGCAAAAUGACUCCGUAACUUCGGGAGAAGGAGUGCCUUAUUUUUAUAAGGUUGCAAUAACAAGAUCCAAGCAACUGUUUACCAAAAACACAGGUCUCCGCUAAGUCGUAAGACGAUGUAUGGGGGCUGACGCCUGCCCAGUGCCAGAAGGUUAAAGAAGUUGGUUAGUUUCGGCGAAGCUGAUGACUGAAGCCCUGGUGAACGGCGGCCGUAACAAUAACGGUCCUAAGGUAGCGAAAUUCCUUGUCGGGUAAGUUCCGACCCGCACGAAAGGCGUAAUGAUUUGGAUACUGUCUCGGAGAGGGGCUCGGUGAAAUAGACUUGUCUGUGAAGAUGCGGACUACCUGCACCUGGACAGAAAGACCCUAUGAAGCUUUACUGUAACUUGAGAUUGAAAUUGGACUUUAUUUGCGCAGUACAGGUGGGAGACGUUGAGAAUAUUCUUGCGGGAAUAUUGGAGUCAUCAGUGAGAUACCACUCUUGUAAUGUUAGAUUUCUAACUUUGUAUCAUGAUCUGGUCAAAGGACAGUUUCAGGCGGGCAGUUUGACUGGGGCGGUCGCCUCCCAAACGGUAACGGAGGCGCACAAAGGUUUCCUCUGAACGUGUAGAAAUCGUAUCUAGAGUGUAAAGGCAUAAGGAAGUUGACUGUGAGACCUACAAGUCGAGCAGCGACGAAAGUCGGUCUUAGUGAUCUGACGGUGCUGAGUGGAAAGGCCGUCACUCAACGGAUAAAAGUUACUCUAAGGAUAACAGGCUGAUCUCCCCCAAGAGUUCACAUCGACGGGGAGGUUUGGCACCUCGAUGUCGGCUCAUCGCAUCCUGGGGCGGUAGUACGUCCCAAGGGUUGGGCUGUUCGCCCAUAAAAGCGGUACGCGAGCUGGGUUCAGAACGUCGUGAGACAGUUCGGUCCAUAUCCGGUGUAGGCGUUAGAAUAUUGAGAGGAGCCUUCUUUAGUACGAGAGGACCGAGAAGGACAUACCUCUGGUGUACCAGUUAUCGUGCCAACGGUGAACGCUGGGUAGCUAUGUAUGGAGUGGAUAACCGCUGAAAGCAUCUAAGUGGGAAGCCCACCUCAAGAUAAG
rnacentral:rRNA from 1 species